rnacentral:rRNA from 1 species
AUCUAAGUACCCCGAGGAAAAGAAAUCAACCGAGAUUCCCCCAGUAGCGGCGAGCGAACGGGGAGGAGCCCAGAGCCUGAAUCAGCAUGUGUGUUAGUGGAAGCGUCUGGAAAGGCGCGCGAUACAGGGUGACAGCCCCGUACACAAAAGCGCAUGUGCUGUGAGCUCGAUGAGUAGGGCGGGACACGUGGUAUCCUGUCUGAAUAUGGGGGGACCAUCCUCCAAGGCUAAAUACUCCUGACUGACCGAUAGUGAACCAGUACCGUGAGGGAAAGGCGAAAAGAACCCCGGCGAGGGGAGUGAAAAAGAACCUGAAACCGUGUACGUACAAGCAGUGGGAGCCCCACCACUAAGC